CAGUUACACAAUUACUAACCCUUGCACCCACAUCUAUGCCUGAAGAUGCUUCACAACUUUUGCCAAUUUGAAAGGGAGUUUGGUAUCGAAGCUCAGUGGAAUUUCUUUGCAACUUCUCAUGGAGAAUCCCCAUUCGAUGGAUUGGGGGCAUUGGCUAACACCUUACUGCCGCAGAAAGUUUAACUAGGCCAUAUAUCAACCAAAUUCUAUCUGCAGAAGAAAUGUUUGAAUUUUGUCAAAAUAAAAUUCCCAGUAUUGUGUCAAAGUAUGUACCUAAGAUUGAAAUGAAAGAAUAGCGAACUUUGCAUGCAGAUUGUUAGGACGGAAUUGAUAAUACUGUUACUGGAACCAGAUCUUAUCACGAGUUCAUUUCUCUUAGUGUUGAUAAAAUUGGGCAUUGUAGUGAUGAUGAAGAGUUUGCCUGUACUGACGAUUUUUAAGUUACGUUCUACUUGGAAGAAGAUAUAACUGUUGGCUCGUUUUCUGCAGUUAUGUACGACAGGUGCUGGUGGCUCUGCUUGAUUUUAAAGAAAAACAAAAAGACAUGGACACUGAAGGCAAGUUCUUACACCCUAAAGGUCGAUCAAAAAAAAAAAUCAUUGGCCUCAAUGUGAUGAUGUAUACUCGAUACCAUUUGACUGUAUGUUGAAAAUCAUCGACGUUCCAGAUAGAAAGCUAAGCAUGUGAAGCUAUACCACAACAAUAAUCAAAAUUUCUUGAAGGAUGAUAGAAAACUGUUAAUUUCCAAAAAGUCAGAAGCACCUCCACCACCGCCUAACAGUUAUAAACCACCGUUUCCUAAUCGAACAAGAAGUUUCAAUACAGGUUCGUACAGUAGCAACUCCAAGCUGUCUGUUGGUUCCAGAGAUGAUAUGCUGAUAUCAAAAUUAAGUUCUAUCCCAUCCAGGAGGCAAAUGAAACCUCCGAAUCAUCCUCCUCCACCACCACCUAUUCCAAAAAGAGUUGUUGGAACAAUUCAAAAUUACAAGAUGGAUGCAGAAACUAAACAGCAUGAAGUUACGUCUCAAGAUGAUCGAUUAAUUAAGCUUGAGACCUCGAUUGAAUCUUUUGAUUUGCGAUUUGCAUCUAUGUUUAAACCUUCUUCAUUGUUCCCACCUCCCGAACCCUUUACUUGUAUUCAAAAAACAUAUCCAAGCAAAAAUAAUCAGAGAAAAUUUGUGAGUCGUACUUAAUUGGCAGAUACCUCUUCAUAAUUAAAGUGGGUUUUUAAGUCUCUAAGGUUCGUCUAUUGACUUACGCAUUAAAUCAAUAUCCAGAAUGAAGGAUUUACUGAUAUAAAUGAAUAUAUUUAGUCUGCCUGAACAGCAUGAAUAGAGAAAGGUUGAAUCUUAUAAUAUUGAAAACUGACUUGACAGACUAUGCUUGUCAGUGAAACCAAAUGUCUUAUGUCAUAACUUUUGUCUUUAUAGAUAUUUAAAAGAUAAUUUACCUUCUCUUUGUUUGAAGAUGCUAAACUAAGGGAUAAAAUUAGCAUUUUCAAUAGCUCUUCAAUGUGAAAAGUUAAAAAUAUUUUAUUUGUUGGGCACCUGUUUUUAAAUAUAUGUAAAAUUGUUGUUUUAUUUAGAAAUAAUUGCUUGUUCAACUAUAAUAUUUAGUUUGUAUAAAUGUUUGAGAACGAAUUGUAACAAAUGUAAGUUUGUUGAUUUAUAGUUGUAUAAUUUUUGGUAUCGAUUAGUUGCAAUUUCAUGUUUCUCAUAAAAUAUAUAUGUUUAUUGUAAAAAAUAAAUGAUACGGGCAUCUAAAUUAUAUUGAUAAACAAAAUUAUACGUUUUUUAAUCUUAAACCAUAAAGAGCGAUACGUUAUUUUUAUUAUUAUUUUUACAUAGUGCUGAAAUUUGUAUAUUGUGAAUAAACUGGAAUGUGAUUCAA
rnacentral:misc_RNA from 1 species